UGCCAGCCGCCGCGGUAAUACGAAGGGUGCUAGCGUUGUUCGGAAUUACUGGGCGUAAAGAGCAUGUAGGCGGAUGAAUUAGUCGGAGGUGAAAGCCCCGCGCUCAACGUGGGAAGGCCUUUUAGAACUGGCAGACUAGAGUUUUGGAGAGGGGAGUGGAAUUCCAGGUGUAGCGGUGAAAUGCGUAGAUAUCUGGAGGAACAUCAGUGGCGAAGGCGACUCUCUGGCCAAAGACUGACGCUCAUGUGCGAAAGUGUGGGUAGCGAACAGGAUUAGAUA
rnacentral:rRNA from 1 species